AAGGUAUCGGAGGCUCGCCAUCCUUCAGUGUCUUAUGAUCUAUAGUUUUUUAGUUGUUGUGCAUUGACUUACAGUUGAGUAAUAUCAGCUGCUUCUUAUGCUUUAUUGGCUAAACCGUUGGAUGAAGCAACUUUUUAAACGGGAAAUUGAACUGAGGCUAAAGCCUGGGGUCUUCGAUUUGAUUUCUAUAAGGCUAAGUACUUCAAACCCUCACAUUUGUUAGUGGACAUUCCAGGUUCAUGUAUGUGUUAAAUUACUAUUCUUCUUAAAAUAUAUAUGUUAUGAAUGCAGGUAUCUUCUUGUCUCCUUAACAAUCUAUCUCUCAGCAUGGAGGGUCCCUCCUUUCGUAUUUGAGGGGCCUUUCUGUUCACCAAUGGAGUAUUUCUUGUGCAUAACUUCUUUGUGGUUUGAUUCUUUGUGUAGCAUAACUUUGCCUUUGUGGUUUGAUCCAUUGUGUAGCAUAACUUUGUAUCCGUACUAGUUCUAUGGUUUAUGAUGUUUGGCUUUUUGUGAAUCAGGUUGUAAAACUAUAUGAAAGAUGCUUAAUUGCCUGUGCAAAUUAUCCCG
rnacentral:lncRNA from 1 species